CCUACGGGAGGCAGCAGUGAGGAAUAUUGGUCAAUGGGCGGGAGCCUGAACCAGCCAAGUCGCGUGAGGGAAGACGGUCCUAUGGAUUGUAAACCUCUUUAGGCGGGGAGCAAUGCCGGGCACGUGUGCCCGGAGGGAGAGUACCCGCAGAAUAAGCAUCGGCUAACUCCGUGCCAGCAGCCGCGGUAAUACGGAGGAUGCGGGCGUUAUCCGGAUGUAUUGGGUUUAAAGGGUGAGUGGGCGGAGUUUUAAGUCAGCGGUAAAAUGUCCAGGCUCAACCCGGGCCGGUCGUUGAAACUGGGGAUCUUGAGUGGGCGAGAGGUAUGCGGAAGGCGUGGUGUAGCGGUGAAAUGCAUAGAUAUCACGAAGAACUCCGAUUGCGAAGGCAGCAUACCGGCGCCCGACUGACGCUGAGGCACGAAAGCGUGGGGAUCGAACAGGAUUAGAUACCCUAGUAGUC
rnacentral:rRNA from 1 species